GUCUGAGUUUCUAAAAGCUUUAUCUGACAUGUGGAAAGAUUUUGAUUCCCGUGUGUUGCAAUAUAAGAACUAAGGAAUCUAGUUAUGCAGCCAAUGAUUGUGCCAAUGGUUCUCAAGAUUGCAGAGUCGCAGGAUAAAACUGAUUUUGAGUCAGUUACAUUCCCGACUCUUGUGCUUGU